GCGGGCGGCGGGCGGCGGGCGCAGCGGCGAGGCCCCGGACGCCCGCAUCCAGCCCGCGAGCGACCGAGCGGACCUCCGCGCAGAGGCCGCGGCACGCGCGCCCCCCGGUGAGUUGCAGCUUCGUCCUCCGCGUUUCUGGAAACUUGGAGCUGUGGCCGGGCGGCUGGCGAUGCGUGGCGGGCGCCGAUGGAGGGGCCUUGGGCUCCGGGGGCGCUGCUCGGCCCGGCCCGGACGGAGGAGGGAGGGGGUCGCGCUGGCCGGGCCGCGAUCGGACCCUCGCCCGCGGGUCUCAGACGCAGCCCCGGGCGCGAUCAGGUCCGCUUGCGGAUGCGGUUGGAGGCCGCGUUUGCGAAACUGGAGGUCCGCGAGCCGCGUGACGCCCUCUCCAUCCCGUGGCCGCCGCCUCCCCAUGCCCGGAGCCGGUUCCCCCAGAACUCGGCAGCCCCGUGUUGUGAAACUUUCUCUGCCUUCGCUUUGCGCCCGCGCGCCGGCUGCCCGCACUCGGGACGGCAGCCUCCUCGGAGGGCUUUGCGUGUCCUUAGGGCCACCUUCCCGUGGCGCGGUGCUCGUUAUUUGUGCCAGGGUUCGUGGUCUGCGAGGAGGCUUCCAGGAAGCGCAGCCACGAGGCCGCCUGUGCCGGGAGCGUGGACACAUGGUGAGCCCUCCUGGUGGUCCGCAGCGUGGAGUGUUUUCUUCUCUGCAGCUCCAGACUGCAGCCCAGUCUAGAAAAAGUAGAAAGGGAAAAGUCACCCGGAGGAUGCUGGGGACGAGCCAGCACGGGUUCUAUUUCUUCCCUAGGCUGUUGUUUUCCAGAGGGAACUGGCAGCCGCCCGCGCCCCUCAGAUUGGUCUCCAGUCAAGGUGGAGGAACCGCGAGUGGGGUGGGUGUCCGGCCAAGGGCGCAGGGACUGCAUCCGCCGAACCGAGAGCUGCAGGGUGCUGCAGGCUUGCUUUGCAUAUGGGCAGGCAAGUUGAGGCUUGUUCACUUGCCACGGUCCUGUGGUCACAGCAGUCUUUCUAAAGCUCUCCCCAGCAGACGGGGCUUGUAUGGACUCUUGGAAGCCGGAGUGGAACUUCCGGAAAGAUUGACUCUAGGAGAGAAGCCUUCAGCAGAGCAGAGCAAAAGGACACACGUAAUCCAUUACAAGGAAAACCCUCAUGGCCCGGUCCCUGGGCUGAGAUGAGCUCAGUCUGGAGGUCCUGGGCCAAGGACAAGCACCCAGCCCUCAAAACAGCUGGCUGCACAGUUUUCGCCCCUCGCCCCCUACGGUGCCAGGGUGGUUUUAUUGCUGGAGUAAUAAAUUACGCUUUUUAAGGAUGAGACCGCGGCCCAGCUGUUGAACGGUUUGGACUUGCAGAUGUUCCUCUGCCUACAAAGCAGAGAAGGCUGCGUGACGGGAUCUCUAAAGGUUCAGCACACUUGACUGAGGAGCCCUUGGUGCCCGGGGAGGUGGCAUCUCCCUGCAGGAAGGAGGCUGUCACUUGCUGGGGUGCCCUGACGAGCAGUCGGCAAGCAACGGGUGAAGACAAGAGAGCCAGCCUUGCAGGUGGAGCUCAGGUUCUGCCCCUGCUGAUUGAGGGUGACAUUGAGCUGAACAUGUGGCCUCUCUGAGGCUCUGCUUCUCAUUCGUUCAACUAGGGUCAUCUUCGAGAACCAGAGGCUGCACUGGUCGUCUGUCGUCCUCUGUGUGGGUAUCCGUGCUGAGCGUUAAUGAGUGGCGCUGAGGCGGAUCUGGCAGGGGAGGAAGAUGCAGGGAUCACAUCCACCCUGUGUUAACGCGGGGAUGUGGCAGUCCGGGGAGGUCCGGGCUGCUCCAAGCUGUGGCCCCCACUCUGCUGUCCAGCAUGGUAGCCACCCACUACCCAUGGUUGCUGAACUCUCGAGACCCAGAACAAUCUGAAUGGAUGUAUGUUGUCUGUGUAAAAUACACAGUCGUUUGAAGACAGCACAAAAAAAGACUAUAAAACAUCAAAUUAAAAACAACUGAUUGCAUGUUGAAAUAAGAUUUAGA
ensembl:lncRNA